rnacentral:sRNA from 1 species
GGUCUUGAUUCGGGCCUGAGCCGUGGAAGCCGUUGGCCUUCGCACAGGAAAGAGGAGCCCGAGAUCAGUUUCUCUGGGCUUCCCUGCUUCCCCCCUUGAAUGGAGCUGCGUUCAGGAGCUGCCUACAGUGCCCAGUGCAUGGCAGGUUUAGUGUUGCCUGACUUCAGAUAUGGCCUAUUGUUGGGGCUGGAUGUUUGGGCCUCGUGGCUUGACCACCAAUGGCCGAAGCAAACGCUAGCUCUGCUGAGCUCUGGGCCAGCCCAACUUGUCCUUGCCGCCUGCAGUGGGCCCCAAGGGUGGGGGGCCACCUUUGGGAGCCUGUGUGAGCUCGGGUUAUGCCCUUCCCCACAUGGGGCUUCCCUCCCCAGCACCGCCCUCACUCUAACUCAGCUGGUCCUUGCUGCCAGGUCUUCCACAGGAGCAUAUGCCCUCAGGCUGUGCACAGGCCCCCCAGCACCCUGCCCUGCCUCCCUGGCCUGUGUGAGUGAUUGCGCUGAAGGCCACUGGGAGAAGCCAGGGCAGGACGCAGGCUGCACAGAUGACGGGGAUCACACUGGCCUUCCUUGAAGGACACGCUGCCCGAUGCUGGU